UUGAUUAUUAGUUGAAUGCCUACUAAAUUCUCAGCACAGCAGCAAAGAAUAAGAGAUUUCAAUAAGGAUAGAAACAUAAGCCUUGGGCACCAAUCUGUUAAAUAAAAUAAACAAACAAACUGAUAUUUCACUUCUCUUGUCUCUCAUCUGCCAGAUUUUUACCUGGAUAAAUCCAAUUUGAUAUGUCUUUCUUAAUGAUCCAUGGAUCUUCUCCUUGUUCCAACUUGGAGAUUACAUCGGGUUUGGAAACUGGGUGCCCUAUUAAAUGGAAAACACAGAGGAACUGGGAUACACUAUAUUGAAGGAAGAAGAGAGGGUACCAUUCAAGUGUACAAUGAAGCAGUCCAGGUAGCCCUCAACAGAGUAAUGACCUCCAUUUGGGAAGGAGAAAGUUGAACAGAGGGACAGGUGGACAUAGAGAGAAGAGGAUGAUAUGAAGAGACAUGAGGAGAAGAUGGCCAUCUAUAAUCCAAGGAGAGAGCCCUGAAACGGAUCCUUCCCUCACAGCCCUUCGAAGAAACCAAUCCUACUGACAUCUUGAGUUUUUACUUCUAGCCCCCAGAAAUGAAAGAACCAUGCCUAACCGUUCUUGAGAUAGUCCUCUUUAGAGACCUACAAAUCAUGUAACUGAUGAUGUCUGCAAGGAAGAUCUGAAAAAUCGGCACAUCAAUUCAUUUAAAUGGUUUCAGGCCAGGUUAUCUACACAUUACCUAGCAACUCUUUUUAGGAUUUGAUCUUUAUUUUGCCUACCUUUGCCUCAAUCCAAAUUUUAGCUCUUUUUAACUUUUCCAUUUGAAUAUAUGAAAAACCAAGGAGGAAAUUUAAAAAAUUAAAAAUAAAAGCAACUCACUUGGGACUUCAUCCUUUUCUGCUCUCUUCUAAAAGAACGGAUGCCUGAAAAAAAGCAGAACAGGUGGUCAGAAGGACGUUUUCACAGACCAGACCCAGAAUUCACCAU